GCGUACACACAUCGCUCUUGCACACACAGGAUCUGCGGGGUAUUCGCCUCUUCGCCCCGCGCCACACCACCCAGCUGAGCAUCGCUUUCAGGCUACCCUGCGGGGGCGCAGGUACGAGGCGAUGGGGGGAGGAGAGAAACCUGGAACAGCCUUUGAAGCUUGGAUCAGCCAAUCACCUUGCUGUCUACGAAAAGGCCUUUAUGAAGAAAUCCAUCUUUAGCUGGAGGCCCCUGUGACUAGAAAGAUUUCUCCUAUGCCCAUCUAACCCUGCUGCUGCAGUGUGACCUUCUCCUACCUAGAUUUCUUCUCCUUGAGAACAGGCAACCUUAACUAAAACCAUUGAGACUUCUUCCCCAGGUUGGAUGGGCUCCAGGCCAGAUCUCCUAGACACCUGGAUGGCAGCUUAGCAUAAAGAGCCAGCUGCCUUCUCGUAGAGCCAAAACAUCAGUGUGUGGUCCAGACCGUUGGCAAGUAGACCUGGGCAUCCUGAAUCUACAGCUCGGACCGCAUCUCUGCAUCUUGCCCAAGGGGAGUCUAUGAAGCAGUUGCCUUUCUUAAUUAAAAGGGAAACGAAGAGAUGAGCCUGGAGGCUCGCCACUCACAUUCGCCUGGACACUGCUGGACAAUGGAGCAUGUCCCCACCCACAGGUGACCCCAUCCUCAGCUCGGGCUGAGAGACCAUACAACACACUGGGGGCAGGGUAGUGUUCAUGCCUGGGUCUUGCUUCCAACCAAGUGGCUUUCCUGAUAGAAUUGGGGUGGGGGGAGGGGAGCGAAGCACAGUUCACACGGCAGCCUGUUUAUUGAUUGACUAUUGGUUGAUUGGUUUUUUUCAAGACAGUCUCUGGGAAGCCCUGGAUAUCCUGGAACUCACUCUGUAGACCAGGCUGGCCUUGAACUCAAAAGGUCUGCCUGCCUCUGCCUCCCGAGUUCUGGAAUUAGAGGUGUGUUCCACCACUACCUGGUUAAGUACUUUUUAGAGCCCUAAAGUCUCUCAGGAUUCUCAGCCCUUCUACAAAACCCUUACUACAAAUGUGGAUCCCAGAAGAUUUCAGGUACUGAUAGAGCUCAUUGCAAUAAAAACCUGAACCUGU
rnacentral:lncRNA from 1 species